AUGAUGGACUAUAGGACAGGACUGCUGCUUUUAACUGUCUGCUGGGCAGGUGUUGAUGGUCAGACUCUGACAGAAUCUGAACCAGUGGUUAAAAGGCCUGGAGAAUCCCACAGAUUGACCUGUACAGCCUCUGGAUUCACAUUCAGUGACUACGGGAUGCAGUGGGUCAGGCAGGCUCCUGGAAAAGGACUGGAGUGGGUUGCUUACAUCUAUACUAGUGGCAUCUACUCUCAGUCAGUUCAAGGCCGGUUUACCAUCUCCAGAGACAACAGCAGACAGCAGGUGUAUCUGCAGAUGAACAGUUUGAAGACUGAAGAUUCUGCUGUUUAUUAUUGUGCUCGAGACUCACAGUGA